GGAUGUGAGGGCGAUUUGGCUGCAACAUCUGUCACCCCACCGAUAGCCAGGGUUGGUUUGGCUAAUCUGGCUGGCUAGGCAGGUGUCCCCUUCCUCCCUCUCUACUGAAGCUGUGUGCUCAGCUGACGAGGACAACAUUCUCCGAAUAGAGACAGAACAGUCAAGUCGAGAGUCUACCAGUAGCUGCGCUUCCCUGCUAGAACCUCCUAACAAGCUGCCUUUCCUCUCAGAGAUGGUUAUCACAAUUCUUUCUCCCUCCUAGGA
rnacentral:snRNA from 1 species